UCAGAUUGCAGGCUGCAACUCGCCUGCAUGAAGUCGGAAUUGCUAGUAAUCGUAGGUCAGCAUACUACGGUGAAUACGUUCCCGGGCCUUGUACACACCGCCCGUCAAACCAUGAGAGUUGGCAACACCCGAAGUCGGUAGUCUAACCGCAAGGAGGACGCCGCCGAAGGUGGGGUUGAUGAUUAGGGUUAAGUCGUAACAAGGUAGC
rnacentral:rRNA from 1 species